GCGCCUACCUCCUACCUACCCUGCCGAGACACAAUAUCGGGUUCCAACUCCACUUAUAAAAAAGACAAAUCGGAAUAUGCGUCCUACUCAAGAUCCACCUCCAAGACAAUACCCCACCACAUAACUUCUCCCAUUGAAAAUCUUAUCGUUCCGGACUUUCCACAACACCCAUAACGUUGAGAGCCAAAUAAGCCAACGGCCCUUUUUAAUGAUUUUAUUCCUUUCCCAACCUCCCCAACACUCCCAAUGAACGAAAAGAUUCGGAGGGGUUAGAAAGAAAUCAUCUAGCCACGACAUUAACAACAACCAAACCGAGCUUGCCAAAUCACAAUGGAGGAAGAGGUGUAAGGACGAUUUUUCCCUCCUAUCACAAAGCCCACAAAGAAUGGAUUGAUCCGGAGAUAUGACAUUCCGCCAAGCAACGUUAACUUUAGUUGGUAAUCGAUUAAGAAGAGCCCUCCAAGCAAACGCCACCACUUUCGAAGGCGCCGGAGUUUUCCAUUAAGCUUUGAAAACCCGUUUUUCUUCAUCCCUAUAGAAGUAACACCUAUUAAAAUUGAAAAACUUGUAAUUUUUCAACAAACGAUGAUGACAACAACAACAAAUCACAAGUUUUCUGUGAUAGAGAUGGUGCUUGUCUCGUGUAGAGGUCUUGGUGCAAUUAACCAUUUUACUGCUAUUAAUUGUUCUGGUAACAACUUCCUAGUCAGUGUUUAGUAUCCAUAGUGGAAGUGCUCUGGAAGUUUUAUUGCUGCUUUCACAGUCAUCAGUUAUGAGGGCAGGCUGGCAGCAAUUUUGGAGCCAUAUUGUUUUCUUGGUUUAUAUAGGUUUAGGAGUUCUAUAGGGAUCUUGGAGCAUUCUUGUGGUGUUUUUGUAACCUAUUUCAAAUAAAUAAUGUAUUGAAGUGUAUUUUUUUUUUUACAUCCAAGUCUAGUAC
rnacentral:lncRNA from 1 species